GGAUAGCUCAGUUGGUAGAGCACGAAACUCUUAAUUUCAGGGUCAUGGAUUCAAGUACCACAUUAGCCA